rnacentral:tRNA from 1 species
GGAGCCAUGCCUGAAGCAAAGGGCCACUUUGAUAGAGUGAAUCAUGGAGGUUAGACUCCUCCUGGCUCCU